rnacentral:misc_RNA from 1 species
AAGUCGUAACAAGGUAACCGUAGGUGAACCUGCGGUUGGAUCAUUACUAAAUGCUUGAUUGGUUCCCUCCCUUCCAGGAGGUUGAGCCGAUCGCACCAACCCCUUGUGAACUGUAAUAGUCUCUGGGUCUUUUCUCACGAGAAGGCCCGAUUUAUAAACACCAACCAUUUAUUUUUUGUCUGAAAUUUGAGAAAAGAGAAACAACUUUUGACAACGGAUCUCUUGGCUCUC